CAAUCAGCUUUUGGGAAAUCUGUGUUCUAUUGAUGUGUCAACAGAGGUUUUCAAUAAAGUUAAACACACCCUCGUUAUGAAAGCUCCCUUGUUGUCUAAUGUUAGUCUAAGCAAAAUGGAUGUGAAAAGAAAGCCGAAUUGGACUGUGGAAGAAACGGUGAUGUUGGUAGAGGAGGUGGAGGCAAAGAAGGAAAUAAUUAAGGGAAAAUUUAGCCCCACAAUUACAAGUCGACACAAAAAAGAAGUUUGGAAGCAGAUCGCAGACAGCAUUAAUGCGAGCUUCUCCUCCACCAUUCGAAGGAAUGCAAAAAGAAAUGGCACAAUGUUUUGUCCAAAGUGCGUCAGGAAAUCUCCGCUUUCAUGAAGGCAACUUCUGGCACUGGUGGAGGUCCUGCGCCUAAACCUUUAAGUGCAGUGGCAGAAGUAGUUCUCCGCAUCCUCUGAGAAAAUAAUGCCACAAUCAGUGGAGUGGGCGACUGUCAGGAUGCUGCACUACUCAAACUGCAGACCGUAGUAAGUAAUGCAGAUGAAAACACCAUUUCAUCCCCUCAUGAGCUGCCUGUAGAGGAACUCCCAGCUGCAACAGCACUGCUUCCAG